rnacentral:rRNA from 1 species
UACGUAGGGUGCAAGCGUUAUCCGGAAUUAUUGGGCGUAAAGAGCUCGUAGGUGGUUUGUCGCGUUGUCGUGAAUCUACACGGCUUAACUGUGAGCGUGCGGGCGAUACGGGCAGACUGGAGUACUGCAGGGGAGACUGGAAUUCCUGGUGUAGCGGUGGAAUGCGCAGAUAUCAGGAGGAACACCGGUGGCGAAGGCGGUUCUCUGGGCAUGUCCUGACGCUGAGGAGCGAAAGUGUGGGGAGCGAACAGG